UACGUAGGGGGCGAUCGUUGUCCGGAUUUAUUGGGCGUAAAGAGCUCGUAGGCGGUUCGAUAAGUCGGACGUGAAAUCUCCACGCUCAACGUGGAGGGGCCGUUCGAUACUGUCGUGACUCGAGUCCGGUAGGGGAGUGUGGAAUUCCCGGUGUAGCGGUGAAAUGCGCAGAGAUCGGGAGGAACACCCGUAGCGAAGGCGGCACUCUGGGCCGGUACUGACGCUGAGGAGCGAAAGCGUGGGGAGCAAACAGG
rnacentral:rRNA from 1 species